rnacentral:rRNA from 1 species
UACGGGGGGUGCAAGCGUUGUUCGGAAUUACUGGGCUUAAAGGGCUCGUAGGUGGCCAACUAAGUCAGACGUGAAAUCCCUCGGCUUAACCGGGGAACUGCGUCUGAUACUGGACGGCUUGAGUUUGGGAGAGGGACGCGGAAUUCCAGGUGUAGCGGUGAAAUGCGUAGAUAUCUGGAGGAACACCGGUGGCGAAGGCGGCGUACUGGACCAACACUGACACUGAGGAGCGAAAGCCAGGGGAGCAAACGGG